rnacentral:rRNA from 1 species
UACGUAGGGACCAAGCGUUGUUCGGAUUUACUGGGCGUAAAGGGCGCGUAGGCGGCUUUUCAAGUCAGGGGUGAAAUCCGGCAGCUCAACUGUCGAAGUGCCUUUGAUACUGAAGAGCUCGAGGGAGGUAGGGGUGUGCGGAACUUCCGGUGGAGCGGUGAAAUGCGUAGAUAUCGGGAGGAACAUCAGUGGCGAAGGCGGCUACCUGGCCCAAUACUGACACUCAGGUGCGACAGCGUGGGGAGCAAACAGGG